rnacentral:rRNA from 1 species
UACGUAGGUGGCAAGCGUUGUCCGGAGUUAUUGGGCGUAAAGGGCGCGUAGGCGGCAGCCUAAGUCAGAUGUGAAACCCCGGGGCUUAACUCCGGACGUGCAUUUGAAACUGGGCAGCUAGAGUGCAGGAGAGGAAAGCGGAAUUCCUAGUGUAGCGGUGAAAUGCGUAGAUAUUAGGAGGAACACCAGUGGCGAAGGCGGCUUUCUGGACUGUAACUGACGCUGAGGCGCGAAAGCGUGGGGAG